UGAAUAUUCAAUAUAUAAAAUCACACUCAAAUUCAAAUUCAUUCCAAAUAUUAUUUUUAAAUCUAAAUUUAUUUGGUAACUGAUUAUAUACUAUUCAUACCCAUAAAAUUUAAUCAGAUCAAAUAUGCAUAAAAAUAUGAGCCGUUACUGUCCUGGAAUAAGAAGAAUAAGCUUUUAAAUUGUGCUAGUUUUUAAUGCAAUUUAAAUCUAAUAAAAAUAAUUUAUUUAAUUUACAUGAAAUGCAUAGUUUCUUAGAGGAAAAAAAAAUCAUUAAUUUGAUCAGCCAUACUCCUAAAUGUAGCGUAAUAAAAUAUUUGAAUAUGGAGGCAAGAUCAGCUACUAUAACUAAAGAAUAGAUUGAUGUUUGAUGAUAACAGCCAGUUGACAUGAGCACAUGGGAAGAGAAAAAGAACACAGAAGUUCACAUGAGCCAAUCUGAGCUAAAUCAAGAUUCCCACCUAAUGAAACAAUUUGAUAAUCUUUUUUUGGUCCAUGUCAUUGUCAUGUAGCACAGAAGAGGUUGAGAAAUUAGGCAAGAGAUUGGUCUAUAAUUAAGCAUAAUUAACUACAAAUUCAUUUCGUAAAUUUUUUUAUAGAUAAAAUAUAUGUACACACGAAUAAGUGACAGAAAUAAACUGCUAUUAAAAUCAUCACAAAUUUAAAAGAGUUCUUAUUUUUAUAUAAUCCACACACGUACACUCUACAUACGAUAUGAAAUCUUGAAGGACUAGCUUCUAAGUACACCCAACUAACUCACGGACAUUAAUUAGGAUUACAUCUGAACACUCAACUCUCUCUUAUUUUCAAGGCACUUUUUUUUUAUUUAUAAAUAAAAUAUAUGUAAAUAAGAGUUAAUGAUAAGAAUAAAAUAUUAUUAAAAUUAUCAUAAUUUUAAUAAAAUUUUUAUUUUUCAUGGGUGAGAUUUCUAAAGACUUUUUCAAGGGUGAAUUUUCUGUAUGCAAUGCAGUUGUACUAUGAGGGAGACUGUGGACGGUUAAUUAUGGAUGACAAAAACUACACCCUCAAGAAAAUGCACUGGCAUUCCCCUUCUGAGCAUUGGAUUGAUGGAAUUCGGUUUCCUCUGGAGCUUCACCUAGUCCACGCGGGAGAAAACAACGCCACCUCUGUUGUUGCUGUCCUCUACCAGUAUGGCCGUGCUGAUCCUUUUAUUGCUAAGGUAAAAUUCACAUAUUUUAAGAUCCAAAAAACAAAAAGAUGAAAUCUUCAUUACAGUUUAUGCUUGCAGCUCAAGAACAGUUUGGAUAAGCUCGCUAAUGAGGUGAAAGUAGGUGAUCAAAACCCUCAUAUCCCCUUAGGAAUCGUAGAUAGUAAGCUCGUAGGGAAAAAAACCCGCAAAUAUUACAGAUACAUGGGUUCUCUUACCACUCCUCCAUGCACUGAGAAUGUGGUCUGGCAUAUACUUGGCAAGACGAGAACAGUAACCGAGAAGCAGGUACAAACUCUGAAAGCUCCAUUGGGCAUAGCUUACAAGGUAAAUGAAAGGCCUCUGCAGGCCCUGAAUGGAAGAAAGGUUGAACUAUUUAAAGAAUUUCAGCUACCUAAACCAGCACGUACGUGACUUAGUAAAGUUUGUGAAUUGCGUCUGAAAUCUGCAGCUAUAAAUUCUCUCCCUGUACUACUUGAACUGUUGUACUCGAGCAUAAAUAAAGGAUCAGUAUGGACAGACAGUUCAUGAAUCCUAGUAUAAUCUCUACAAUUUCUAAAUAUUCUUGAUAAUAGAUACAGAAGUAACAAAAAAAUGCAAAAAAUUUUCAUUUAUUUUUUAUUAAUCAAGCAGCUUGGAAAAUAUGUUUCAGAGAAAAGGUUCAAUGAAAGAUGAAAAAAGGAAAAGAAAAGGCCAAUAAUUGCAGUGGCUCUGUUUUUCCUAAUGAUGUGAAGAAGGAAUUACAAAAUAGUCAAAUUAGGCAACUAUGCUCAAAUUCCAGUUAGGAAUUCAGAAUCAAUUUUAU
rnacentral:misc_RNA from 1 species